GCCUGAGUGGCUCAGCGGUUGAGCGCCUGCCUUUGGCUCAGGGCAUGAUCCCAGAUUCCUGGGUUUGAGUCCCAUAUCAGGCU
rnacentral:tRNA from 1 species